rnacentral:rRNA from 1 species
GACGAACGCUGGCGGCGUGCCUAAUACAUGCAAGUCGUGCGGACCUUUUAAAAGCUUGCUUUUAAAAGGUUAGCGGCGGACGGGUGAGUAACACGUGGGCAACCUGCCUGUAAGACUGGGAUAACGCCGGGAAACCGGGGCUAAUACCAGAUCGUUUUUUCCUCCGCAUGGAGGAAAAAGGAAAGGCGGCUUCGGCUGCCACUUACAGAUGGGCCCGCGGCGCAUUAGCUAGUUGGCGGGGUAACGGCCCACCAAGGCAACGAGGCGUAGCCGACCUGAGAGGGUGAUCGGCCACAUUGGGACUGAGACACGGCCCAAACUCCUACGGGAGGCAGCAGUAGGGAAUCUUCCGCAAUGGACGAAAGUCUGACGGAGCAACGCCGCGUGAGUGAAGAAGGCCUUCGGGUCGUAAAACUCUGUUGCCGGGGAAGAACAAGUGCCGUUCGAACAGGGCGGCGCCUUGACGGUACCCGGCCAGAAAGCCACGGCUAACUACGUG